CGCGGCCUAUCAGCUUGUUGGUGGGGUAAUGGCCUACCAAGGCAACGACGGGUAGCCGGCCUGAGAGGGUGACCGGCCACACUGGGACUGAGACACGGCCCAGACUCCUACGGGAGGCAGCAGUGGGGAAUAUUGGACAAUGGGCGAAAGCCUGAUCCAGCAACGCCGCGUGAGGGAUGACGGCCUUCGGGUUGUAAACCUCUUUCAGCACCGACGAAGCGGAAGUGACGGUAGGUGCAGAAGAAGGACCGGCCAACUACGUGCCAGCAGCCGCGGUAAUACGUAGGGUCCGAGCGUUGUCCGGAAUUAUUGGGCGUAAAGAGCUCGUAGGCGGUUUGUCGCGUCUGCCGUGAAAGUCCGGGGCUCAACUCCGGAUCUGCGGUGGGUACGGGCAGACUAGAGUGAUGUAGGGGAGACUGGAAUUCCUGGUGUAGCGGUGAAAUGCGCAGAUAUCAGGAGGAACACCGAUGGCGAAGGCAGGUCUCUGGGCAUUAACUGACGCUGAGGAGCGAAAGCAUGGGGAGCGAACAGGAUUAGAUACCCUGGUAGUCCAUGCCGUAAACGUUGGGCACUAGGUGUGGGGGACAUUCCACGUUUUCCGCGCCGUAGCUAACGCAUUAAGUGCCCCGCCUGGGGAGUACGG
rnacentral:rRNA from 1 species